GGAGGAAAGCAGGGGAUCGCAAGACCUUGCGCUAAAGGAGCGGCCGAUGUCUGAUUAGCUAGUUGGUGGGGUAAAGGCUUACCAAGGCAACGAUCAGUAGUUGGUCUAAGAGGACGGCCAACCACACUGGGACUGAGACACGGCCCAGACUCCUACGGGAGGCAGCAGUGGGGAAUUUUGGACAAUGGGCGAAAGCCUGAUCCAGCCAUGCCGCGUGAGUGAAGAAGGCCUUCGGGUUGUAAAGCUCUUUUAGUCGGAAAGAAAGAGUUGCAAUGAAUAAUUGUGAUUUAUGACGGUACCGACAGAAAAAGCACCGGCUAACUACGUGCCAGCAGCCGCGGUAAUACGUAGGGUGCGAGCGUUAAUCGGAAUUACUGGGCGUAAAGGGUGCGCAGGCGGUCUUGCAAGUCAGAUGUGAAAGCCCCGGGCUUAACCUGGGAAUUGCGUUUGAAACUACAAGGCUAGA
rnacentral:rRNA from 1 species